rnacentral:misc_RNA from 1 species
GAUCAAUGUUGUAAACACAGAAAGAGACAUAGUAGCAUGGACAAAGCACUUGAAUUAGUCUACAUUGUACAUUCUACAGAAGUUUAUCCUUCAGUUCGUGGAAUGGUAGGUGGCUUCAAUCAGAUUAAAAAAAAAAUAAAUCAAUCGAGAGUCACAACUGAAACUGUUAGAUAUGGACACCCUUACAUAAUUUGACAAUCAUAAUUGAACUUAGAAGAAUGAUUCGAAUGAGGCCUUGCGCUUCAUCCCAAAAGAAUCAUUAUUUGGCAAAGAUCAUAAAAAAUCAGCAAACUCUGUGGAAGAGAAAGAAUGGUUAGAAUAUGAAAUAAUAAUCAUGAUAAAAUUUUCACAUGCCUUGAGUCCUAAGUUCUCAUGGUACAACGUAGAAGACCAAUUCAUUAAUGAGAAUUGAUCACCCCCUACUAGCUCCUUUGCCAGAUUGGAUUUUAACAAUCCUAUCAGUCUCAAACCUUGCAGCAGCACUGCAGCACUACAUAGAAGCAUUGUUUAAGAUUGCAUUUCCAUUUUUACCUAAACCCAAGAAGAAAUAUAAGAAAGACUAUCUUUUCUUGAGAAAGAAUAUAAUUAGCGGGGCAUGCAUGCAUGCCUGCCUGCAUGAGAGCCAAAGUUAUAUACUUCCUUGAUAAUUCAACAACAGCAAUAUCAUCCCCUGGUGAUGGGUGUGUCUUCUGCAUCUGUGUUAGGAAAUAAGGCAGGGAAGCCAUUGCCAGAGGUAGCAACCAUAGUUUUGUGAAGCAAAAGUCCAUGAUCUUCCCAGACCAUUUUAUGCAUAAUACAUGUAAAGGCUGUUUGAUGCGGCGCAGGCGAGUAAGUUGUCACUUGGAUGCCAUGCUAGAUGUAACAACUUUGUUGUGAAAUCAAAAGCAUUCCCAUUUGUAUCAACUCCAUUGUUGUCUGCACCUUUUACAGUCAGCAUUUAAAAAAUUUUUAAAAAUAAAUUAGAAAAAAAAAGGCAGAAUAACAAGGUUAACUUGAUGUUACAUCAGGCAAAGAGCAAAAUUAACUGCGAAAAAGGAAAAACCCAAAAAUCCAAAAUACGUGCUUUUCUUGGGUAGGCUGAAAUGACAUACAAUUGAAUUAGGUUGCUUGACAUAAAUAAGCCAACUUGGUAAAAUUAAGAAACAGGAAACUUAAAGCAUAGAGCAAAAUUAACAGAUUAUCUUAAUUUACCUUUCCAAAAAGGGUCUUUUGAAAUCAUGAUUUUCUAAUAAUUAGCAGCUAAAUCUAUUGCUUGGAUAACAUUAAUGCCAAAUAUCAUCUUUUUCUUCCUGAUUUUUAAUAACACCAUAUAAAAGUAAUAUUUCAGCAAGCACAGACCUCGUCUAAAGCCACGAGAAAGAGUGCCCAGAGAUCUGGAAGAGCCUGACAACAGGGUUUGAACUUGUCUCCUCAUUGGAUUUUUGCUGGCUUCCAAAGUUGUUGCCUCAGCACUUCCCGGGCCACAACCAAACACACGGAACAGAUUGCUGGGUUUGCAUAAAAAGUAUUAAGAUACAUUUCAACAAAAACACAUGGAUAUACCAAGAUAUGGGCACUAAAUGCAGACCUGUAAGAUCCUGUUGCCACUCGCAAUCCAUCACCACUCAAACAACACUCGAACUUAUCAAAAAUUGAAUCAUUUUCAUACAAAUCACACAACUGGAUACAUUCAAAGAAAAUUAUGAUCAGUACAAUGCAGCCUAGUUAAAUGACUUUAUGUUCAAUUUUGCCUGACAAGGGGGAAAAAAUCUUACCUUAGGUCUUAAAUGCUCAUGAACCUGGAAGGUUGCAACUGGACCCGAAUCCAUAUUGAUGUCCCAUAACUUAAGAGUCAUAUAGUCGCGACUAAGUAUGUGCCGUCCAUCCUUAGCAAAUUUAAUAUCUGAGAUUGAAGCAAUUAUCUCUGUAAAAAAUGAUCUUGAGCCUGGUGCCUCCUGUUCCUCAAACAACUUGGCAUGAGAGUCACAUAAAGCUGAUUGCCGCAAAUCAAUGAGUCGGAUUGAGCCUCUUGAACUGCUAUAUGCCAACAUGUUGCAAUGGUUGGGGUGGAAUUCUGCAGAUGUUAUAACCUCUGCAAAGAUCAAGAAAUUAGGUAGAUAACUAAAGCAAUAAAUCGUUGAACAGAUACUUGCCACUUGAAAGAAACACUUGAUCAAUCAAAAAGAGGAAACUUAACACUAGUUUAUCCAGGAAUAAUUUAAGCGUAAAUGCAGAGGGUAAACCUAAUAGCGUACACACAACACUGGCAUACACAGCAAAAACCAGGCCAGGUAAAAUUUUAUUCAACUAAGAGGCCAAAAUAUUUUACAGAAAGGAAGGCAAAGGAUAACAGGGAAAUUAUUUAAAGGCAGGCAGGUAUGGACACCAUAUCUCAUGUCAAAAUCAGGAUCAGAAAAAUUGUUUAUGGGCAUGUUGGUUGGCCUAAUACAUCAAUGGCCUAUUUGACAUUGCUAAUGGAAGUUUGGAACUGCUGUUGAACAAAGCACAUCCUUAAAUAUGUUAUUUAGAGGAUAUUAAAAAGUGGUUUAAAGUCAAAUUUGACAUAUUUUAACUUUUAACCAUGAGAACUAAACAUCUUUUUUCAAACUGCUUUUUUUAACACAUAAAAUGGUGCUUUAAAAAAAAAGGCAGCUUUUUAGCCUCUCAACUACAAUCCCAAUUGAAGCCUAAGUUUCAAUACAUCCCUGAACAACAGAGUAAGAAGCUUACCUGUUAGAUCCUCCAUAUUUGCAGGUUUCACAUCAACAAUAUUGAAACUUUGAUUGCAAAUUUCUAAAUUCCAAAGAUUUAUUCUUAGAUCGUCAGCUGAUAUAAAAGUUUCACCAUCACUACAACAUAAAGAAAGGAAUUAGCAGGAAUGACAAAUGCCAUGGAUGUGAUUGUAAAAACAGCACACAUUUCAGCAAUAUAGCAACAAUUUCAAAAUGUAUAAGCACCAAAAUGAUAUGAAAAUUGAAAAAACACGCAAUGAUGAUAAUCAUUUUCCUCUAAAAAGUGAAGAAAAAAAAAAACAAGAAGAGAGAGAGAGAUAAUUUCUCCUCAAUCUCACAUGAUUCCAAGAUCAUGUACCAAAUUAAUUAUGAAAUCAGAAAAAAAAAAAAUUAAGCACGUGCGCAGGAACACUUUGAUAAUUGAAUUUAAAGAUGGCAGCUCAAGACAAGGAUCUAGCAACAAGAAAGAAAUAGAUAUGCAUUUAACAAAAUGAGUGAAUGCACCUGUUAUUAGAAAUGGAAUUAAUAUGAUAGUCAUGGGCAUGAGGAUAUGUUCUUCGGCACCUAGCCACAAUGCUCGUUUCAUGACAGGUCAACAUAGGCAAAUGUAGAUUUGGGACUCCCCCAGGUGAGAAGGAAAAGUCAUUGCUUGGAAAACCAAAAGGUCCAUCCAAUGAUCCUCCAUUUGCAGUAUACUGUUUGCAGUUGGAGCUUGUUGGCAUGCUUGAACCUAGAAUAGGACCGUUUCCUGUGGCAUUUUCAGGGUCAACAUUCAUGUCACAUACUUUCUUGACCUUCUUCUCUUGGACCUUCCAAAACUUGAUGGUUUUGUCAUUAGUCGACAGAAGAAACAAGGCACCAUUAGCUGACUGGCACCAUCUAACUUUGUUGAUUUUCUCCUCAAUUUCCAAGCUCCUUAGAUAAUCAAACUCAGGUUCAUGACUCUGAAACUCUGUUUUGUACCGGAACUCAGGAUGCCUGUUGAUAGAAAUAUCCAUCCGCUCUAGAUCUCUUCGUUGUCCAUCAUGCUCUCUUGUGUCAGUUCUUUCAAAUAAAACCACCCGACCACCACGAUCUCCAGUAGCAAGGUAGUUGCCAGUUCUAUCAAAUUCAAUAGCAGAUAUGAUAUCAACUUCCUGGACUUCUUCACCAGCCGUCCGUUCCCCAAACACCUGAGAAAAUUUCCACUCCAACGGCUGCAGCGGCACCCCCACGGAAGCCACCGCAGCAGCCUCCGCACUGCCGGCACCGUUCAUUCUGCUCCACGUCUCUUCGACAAGAAGAAAUCCCCGGAAACAAAACCGAUCAGAUACUCAGAAUCGGAACAACAAAAUCAACGACCCGCAACAAUCUCCAUUUGAAACAGAUAUAUCUCCUGAUUAAUCAACCAUUAGAACCAGAAGCACAGAGAUUGAAGAACAUUAACGAAAUUCCACGCAUAGAAAACGCGCGCGCGCCCACACACACACCCACUCUCUCCCUCUCUCUCUCUCAAUCGCGAUGGCCCUCUGUUAAUUUCUUCCGUUGCUCUUCUUUUACGAGUCCGGCAGAUAAUGACGGAGUGAAAGAUGCGACGUAGCUUUUAGGCUGAUAAUUGGAUUUACUGCUAAUUUUUGUUAAUUGUGUACGCUUCUCGAUUUCCUUUUUGC